rnacentral:lncRNA from 1 species
AGGCAGUGCUUGCUUUACCCCACAAUGCUUUCAACGAAAGGAUAAAACCCUUAUGCUUUAAACAGAAGAGAAAUGAGAACUGACCUGGUACCACAAAGCAGGCUGCCUCAGAAGCCUCCACGCUGUUCCUCACAGCCAACUGAUCUCUUCUCAAGCACCCCUUUCCACAUCCAUGCUGGUCUUAAGUCCAAGCUCAAUGCAGACUGCAACCUUUUCUUUCCGACCAGGCUACAAAAUGGCAACUUCUUCCCGUCCAACACUUGCUCUCUGAUUUCACAGCUCUCCCUCGUUACAAUAACGACGAACAGAUCUGUUAUCUUGCUGGUUCAGACUUCCCAACUCUCAAAUCAUCACUGAAGAAACCUUGCUGCAAAGCUUAACUCCAUCUAGUCCUCAUUUCCUGCCUCCACACCAUUUUCUGCCAAUGUUCAUGUUAUAUGGCAGGUAAAUAUCACGGUGUGCCUUGAUGUCAGCAACCUAGUCCAGAUGGAGCUAGGACUAACUGGGCCAUGCAGCUUGAUCCUUGAAUUUAGACUUCUAGCUCUAACUUAACUCCUAAGCCACUAAUCCUUCCUAAUUAAUCCACUGUUCUCUCUAGUUUCCUACAGACUCUACCUCUGGUGUAGUCUAGUAUUGAGCAAACUUUGUUCUAUCAGUUUAUUGUAUGGGCUAUGAUCAGGGUUUGUAGGGCUCAGAACUUU